rnacentral:rRNA from 1 species
AAUAUUGGACAAUGGGCGCAAGCCUGAUCCAGCCAUGCCGCGUGAGUGAUGAAGGCCCUAGGGUUGUAAAGCUCUUUCUAUGGUGAAGAUAAUGACGGUAACCGCAGAAGAAUCCCCGGCUAACUUCGUCCCAGCACCCGCGGUAAUACGAAGGGGGCCAGCGUUGUUCGGAAUUACUGGGCGUAAAGCGCACGUAGGCGGAUUGGUCAGUUAGGGGUGAAAUCCCAGGGCUCAACCCUGGAACUGCCUUUAAUACUGCCGGUCUAGAGUUCGAGAGAGGUGAGUGGAAUUCCGAGUGUAGAGAUGAAAUUCGUAGAUAUUCGGAGGAACACCAGUGGCGAAGGCGGCUCACUGGCUAGAUACUGACGCUGAGGUGCGAAAGCGUGGGGAGCAAACAG